UAAACCUUAAACCCUAAACUCUAAAUCCUAAACUCCACUCUUUAACUCUAAACCCUAAGUUUGUGACUUUUGAUAAAACAUUAAGUGCUAUUUUUGUGACUUUUGAUUAAAUCAAGUUUUUAGACCGAGACAACAGACAUAACGCAGCUUCAUUUUCUCGUAGAACUUAGUUCUCUAUUGUGUUCAUUUUGGCCCUGAACUAUUCCUGGUUUUCAUGAGUGAACUUAAAGAAUAUAGCCUUGCAUUCAUUCUCCUAGAAACGGCCCCAUUUCACACUCAUUAGGUGAUUGACC
rnacentral:lncRNA from 1 species